UGACCUCAGAUCAGGUAGGGAUACCCGCUGAACUUAAGCAUAUCAAUAAGCGGAGGAAAAGAAACCAACAGGGAUUGCCCUAGUAACGGCGAGUGAAGCGGCAAAAGCUCAGAUUUGAAAUCUGGCGUCAUUUUGACGUCCGAGUUGUAGUCUGCAGAGGUGUAUUCGAGUGUGGCUUUGGCUUAAGUUCCUUGGAACAGGACGUCAUAGAGGGUGAGAACCCCGUUAACGGCCUUUGUCCUAUGCUCAUGUGAAUCUCCUUCAACGAGUCGAGUUGUUUGGGAAUGCAGCUCUAAAUGGGUGGUAAAUUCCAUCUAAAGCUAAAUACUGGCAAGAGACCGAUAGCGCACAAGUAGAGUGAUCGAAAGAUGAAAAGAACUCUGAACAGAGAGUUAAAUAGUACGUGAAAUUGUUGAAAGGGAAGCACUUCCGACCAGACGCACUUGCAGCCGAUCAACCUUCAUUCUUGAGGGUGCACUCGGUUGUCUGUGGGUCAGCAUCAGUUAUGGUGGUAGGAAAAAGACCGAGGGAAUGUGACUCCUCUCGGGGAGUGUUAUAGCCCUUGGUGCAAUGCUGCUUACUGUGACUGAGGACCGCGCUUCGGCGAGGAUGUUGGCAUAAUGGUCGUAAGUGACCCGUCUUGAAACACGGACCA
rnacentral:rRNA from 1 species